rnacentral:rRNA from 1 species
AGGAUGAACGCUAGCGGCAGGCUAACACAUGCAAGUCGAGGGGCAGCGGGUGUAGCAAUACAUGCCGGCGACCGGCGCAAGGGUGCGUAACGCGUGAGCAAUCUGCCCGUAUCAGGGGGAUAAGCGAUGGAAACGCCGUCUAAUACCGCAUAACACCAAUGAUGGCAUCAUCGAUGGUUGAAAGCUUCGGUGGAUACGGAUGAGCUCGCGAGACAUUAGUUAGUUGGCGGGUAACGGCCCACCAAGACCGCGAUGUCUAGGGGAACUGAGAGGUUGGUCCCCCCACACUGGAACUGAGACACGGUCCAGACUCCUACGGGAGGCAGCAGUGAGGAAUAUUGGACAAUGGCCGGAAGGCUGAUCCAGCCAUGCCGCGUGAAGGAAUAAGGUCCUUAAUGGAUUGUAAACUUCUUUUGUACGAGAGCAAUAAGUGUCACGUGUGACACGAUGAGAGUAUCGUACGAAUAAGCAUCGGCUAACUCCGUGCCAGCCGCUGC